UUAGGGGGAGCCACUUCUAUCUUCUGCUGAUGUUGCUGCUAACUUUGCAAUAUAUCUAAGCGUGCCCACCUGAUUGCAGCCCUGGGCAGCAUGAAAGCACAUGAAAUUAUUGCUUAGUCUUCAUGAGAAGGAAAGAAAAUCAACGGACAUAUGAGGCAGAGCAGAAGGAUAGAGAUAUUACUUUGGACCAGAUGAGCCCGCAGAGAGCACAGCUGCUACCGAGUGUUACAGCAGAGCUGCUCAUCGCUGAUGCUGUGCUACAUCCUGCCAGUCCAAAGGGCAGAGGCAGCCUCAGGCUGAAAGGAGAACGAGGGAGAGUCAUGUGCUCUGACCACAGAGCAAGAUGGGCAAGUGCACAGAAAACAUCAUCUCAUGUGAGCUGCAAAGCUACAGACAGGCCCCUGGGCCCUACAGACACCUGCAUGCAGUGGAUCUGGAUGGUUCCAGGAGCAACAGCAGGAGAUUUAAUCAUGUUGUAACUGAAAGCAGCACUCUGUUGCAAGAUCCCCACUACAUGCUGAGGAUAGGCUUCAACUGCAUCCAACGUUUUGCCAUGAGAGGCGAGUUGUUCUGCAAGCAAGGAAGAAUGUUUUAUUGUUCUGGUACUUUGUCUCUUUGGAUAUGGUUUAGAAAUCAAAUAAUACAUUGAAAACAUGCUUCAACAGAAAUGAAACCCAAGAAUCCUCAUUUUUUGUUUAUUUUAUUUUGUUAUUGUGAGACUCCUAGCAAAGCUAACACCUCAUAGCUUUAAUGGAAGUCCUUCAAUAAAAAUGACAAUAGACAAACAGUAUCCAGCAUUGGCACUACUGGUCAGAGUUUGUUGUGGUUCUACUGAUUCUGUGGAAGACUUUCCCUCUUUUAACUCUUUCUGUCCUUUGAAAAGACAAAACACUCUUCGGUAUUUCUAGGCUAAAAGUUAAGACCCAUGAAAAUCAGAAGCUAUCUCAGUAGAUACAAGAAAUUAUGAAGGCAGAUUACCUCCAAAUA